UACAGAGGGGGCAAGCGUUGUCCGGAAUUACUGGGCGUACAGCGCGCGCAGGCGGUCGACUACGUGCCGUGUGACAGACGUCGGCUUAACCGACGUAGGCCAGGGUACACGGGUCGACUGGAGGCAGAGAGGGGGAUGUGGAAUACCCGGUGGAGCGGAUGAAAUGCGUAGAGAUCGGGUGGAACACCAGGGGCGAAGGCGGCAUCCUGGCUCUGUACUGACGCUGAGGCGCGAGAGCGUGGGGAGCAAACCGG
rnacentral:rRNA from 1 species